rnacentral:rRNA from 1 species
UACGAAGGGUGCAAGCGUUAUCCGGAUUUAUUGGGUUUAAAGGGUGCGUAGGCGGGUUAUUAAGUCAGUGGUGAAAGCCUACAGCUUAACUGUAGAAUUGCCAUUGAUACUGAUGAUCUUGAGUAUGAUUGAGGUGGGCGGAAUGUGUCAUGUAGCGGUGAAAUGCUUAGAUAUGACACAGAACACCGAUUGCGAAGGCAGCUCACUAAGCCAUAACUGACGCUGAUGCACGAAAGCGUGGGGAGCAAACAGG